CAAUAGCGUAUAUUAAAGUUGUUGCGGUAAAAAAGCUCGUAGUUGGAUUUCUACCGAAGAUAGCCGGUCAGGUCUUCGACCUUGUAUCUGGUUUUGUCUUUGGUAUCCUCAUAGGGAACGUUUCUGCGCUUUAUUGCGUGGUGCGGUAUCUAUGACUUUUACUUUGAGGAAAUUAGAGUGUUCACGGCAGGCAAACGCCUUGAAUAUAUUAGCAUGGAAUAAUAACAUAGGAUCUUCGUCCUAUUUUGUUGGUUUCUAGGGCUAAGAUAAUGAUUAAUAGGGAUAAUUGGGGGCAUCUGUAUCAACGCGUCAGAGGUGGAAUUCUUGGAUUGCGUUGCGACAAACUACUGCGAAAGCAUUUGCCAAGGAUGUUUUCAUUGA
rnacentral:rRNA from 1 species